UCAAAAGCACACAAAGUUUUAAUUACUAAGUCAGCCCAAAUCCUAGGUCAGUAUGCAACUUAAGUUGAAGUCAUUAAAUUUCUGUUAGAGAGUUGUAAGGCAUAUUUAUACUUGGGUGCUCAGUGAUAUCUGAACCAUACACAAGCUAAGGCUUUAGAUUCCCCAAAAUACUGCUAAAGCUAGUAGUUUCCAAAAAUUGAUCGUAUAAGACCUAAUCACUGAUUCAAAAUCAUCCUAUCUUGCAGGAUUUCGAGAGUUGUGGAUAUUUACUUUAAUACCUCAUGGGCUUUAUCUGUAAUAUUCCAGUUUACUCGAAUUUUUACAACGACGGCUUUCACACUAUCGUCUUUUUCAAGGUCAAUAUUAUUUUCUCUUUUUCU
rnacentral:lncRNA from 1 species